UACAGAGGGUGCAAGCGUUAAUCGGAAUUACUGGGCGUAAAGCGUGCGUAGACGGUUGCGUAAGUCAGAUGUGAAAGCCCCGGGCUCAACCUGGGAAUUGCAUUUGAGACUGCGUAGCUAGGGUGCGGAAGAGGGAAGCGGAAUUUCCGGUGUAGCGGUGAAAUGCGUAGAUAUCUGGAGGAACACCGGUGGCGAAGGCGGCAUCCUGGACCAAUUCUGACGCUGAGUGAGCGAAAGCCAGGGGAGCAAACGGG
rnacentral:rRNA from 1 species